rnacentral:miRNA from 1 species
CAAUUGUAGGAGCUUCUCGGUG